rnacentral:ncRNA from 2 species
CGGCGAGUGAAGCGGCAACAGCUCAAAUUUGAAAGCUAGCCUUCGGGUUCGCAUUGUAAUUUGUAGAGGAUGAUUUGGGGAAGCCGCCUGUCUAAGUUCCUUGGAACAGGACGUCAUAGAGGGUGAGAAUCCCGUAUGUGACAGGAAAUGGCACCCUAUGUAAAUCUCCUUCGACGAGUCGAGUUGUUUGGGAAUGCAGCUCUAAAUGGGAGGUAAAUUUCUUCUAAAGCUAAAUAUUGGCGAGAGACCGAUAGCGCACAAGUAGAGUGAUCGAAAGAUGAAAAGCACUUUGGAAAGAGAGUUAAAAAGCACGUGAAAUUGUUGAAAGGGAAGCGCUUGCAAUCAGACUUGUUUAAACUGUUCGGCCGGUCUUCUGACCGGUUUACUCAGUUUGGACAGGCCAGCAUCAGUUUCGGCGGCCGGAUAAAGGCUCUGGGAAUGUGGCCUCCACUUCGGUGGAGGUGUUAUAGCCCAGGGUGUAAUACGGCCAGCCGGGACUGAGGUCCGCGCUUCGGCUAGGAUGCUGGCGUAAUGGUUGUAAGCGACCCGUCUUGA